UACGUAGGAGACAAACGUUAUCCGGAGUUACUGGGCGUAAAGGGCGUGUAGGCGGUUUGUUAAGUCUGGCGUGAAAGCUCUCGGCUAAACCGGGAGAGGUCGUUGGAUACUGGCGAACUAGAGGAUGGUAGAGGCGUGUGGAAUUCCGGGUGUAGUGGUGAAAUGCGUAGAGAUCCGGAGGAACACCAGUGGCGAAGGCGACACGCUGGGCCAUACCUGACGCUAAAGCGCGACAGCAUGGGGAGCAAACGGG
rnacentral:rRNA from 1 species